rnacentral:rRNA from 1 species
AGCGAACGCUGGCGGCAGGCCUAACACAUGCAAGUCGAACGAACUCUUCGGAGUUAGUGGCGGACGGGUGAGUAACACGUGGGAACGUGCCUUUAGGUUCGGAAUAACUCAGGGAAACUUGUGCUAAUACCGAAUGUGCUCUUCGGGGGAAAGAUUUAUCGCCUUUAGAGCGGCCCGCGUCUGAUUAGCUAGUUGGUGAGGUAAAGGCUCACCAAGGCGACGAUCAGUAGCUGGUCUGAGAGGAUGAUCAGCCACAUUGGGACUGAGACACGGCCCAAACUCCUACGGGAGGCAGCAGUUGGGAAUCUUGCGCAAUGGGCGAAAGCCUGACGCAGCCAUGCCGCGUAAAUGCUGAAGGUCUUAGGAUUGUAAAAUUCUUUCACCGGGGACGAUAAUGACGGUACCCGGAGAAGAAGCCCCGGCUAACUUCGUG